CCCAAUUAAUACUAAAUCUGCGCAUUCCAACGUAACUACGAGACUCAAGACCCGCGAAACAACCUGAAUUAAAAAACGUAAAAGUCAGAAACUCCUUCCAACUCAAAUUCCACAUUCGCUCACAUGUUUCAUUCACAGAAACAUAAUGCUGUGAAGAAACAAGGUUUUAACGAAAUUGGAGGUGAAAGGACCGUGCAACAUCAGAUUCAGAUGCCUGCAGGGAGCCUGAAGUGCAGACAUAGACACUAUUCCAAUGUUCAUAGACUGUUUUAUCCUAGGAGUACUCCGAUGGAAAUCAUGCUUGGAUUGCCAGUUUUUGCAUAUGGCUUUGGAAACCCAUAGCAGGUGAAAGGGUUCCAAGACAUAAAAAAUGGAAGCUUAUCGUGAGAAAUCUUCCUUUCAAGGGCAUUCAAAAGUUGAACGGAUCAAAUUAGCAAAACGAGUCAUAGCUGUUGAUUGGGGUGAUCCGAAUAAGAUAUUUAGUAGCGAUAUUAAGGAUACUUGUGCAUCAGAGAAAGGUGGUGGAGGGACUGAAGUUGAAGGCGUUGGUCCAUUCUCAACCUCAAAAGUCAUUGCUAGUCCCCACGGAACAUGAUCUUCCAUAUGGUAAUGCAUCAGCCAAACCUCUGUAAGUAAACCAACUCAUUAGAGUAUGUCACCGUAUAUAGUCUAAUUCGUAUAUACAGCCAUAUCUGAACAAUGUUACUUUAAUUUUUACUUGCAUGAUAUUUAGUUUAGUUUAUUUGAUUUGAAAGUUUAUGAAUGUCAAAUAACAAGUAACUGAAACAACCGAGAGUCAAUACCUGGAUUAUCUGCUCGGAAUCUAAUAACAGCCCAUCCUUCCUGAGGCACACCAACAGUGUUACGUAAUUGCGGAUUCACCAAAUUAAACUUGGCUCUAUCCGUGUCGUUGUUAAAAUUUCCGAACCCUUGAGCCAAAACGUGAAAGUUAUAACCAUGAAGGUGCAUAGGGUGGUUUUGCCCCUCAAGAAACACUGUAUUCUGAAACACAAUCUCUAUAGUUGAAUUGAAAUUGAGUUUCUUCGCCUUGGUUGAUUUUGGAGCAAAUAGAAAGCUCUUAUUAUAAGCAUUGUCCAGUUUGGUGAAGUCAAACAUAAGUGGAGGCUUGUCAGGGAAAUCUGUAGUGUACACUCCACUCACAUUGUUGUAGAACGCUUCCGACAUAGACAUCCUUAAACCCGCGGGGAUCUCAAACGACUCGUUGUUCAUACUAGCAGAAAUCCUUUGACCAAAUAUGCCAGCACACGUGUUAUUGGAAGCAUUCUUGGAAUCACACAGUUCUAGGUUAAGCGCAAUGGUAACCAACAUGUGUUCAUCAACUUUAAGUGGCAUCGGAACCCAGUGUGGGGCCCCCACCUUGCUCCUCACGUUGCCGUAGAAUUUAAAAGCCGUUUCUGUGUCGUUGAAUGGUGGUAGAAUUGUCAUUGUGGGCUUUGAUGAUGUUGGCGCAUUGUCGUAAAUGACUGUACCACGAACUAUGUUCCUGUCGAAGCGAGGGAUAUUAGUAACGUAAGGAGAGGCUACCAUGUAGUACGAACCGAUGGGUUGGUUCGCUGUGAAUAACACGUCAGCACUCUGACCAGGGACAAUAACGAUGAUGUCGGUAUCGUAGUGUUCGGUGUAUGAGGCAUCGACGGCAACAACUGUGAAGUUGUGAUUUGCAAUCUUAAAGAAAAGGUCGUAAUUGAGUGCAGCGUUGAUCAUUUGAAGCAUCUGUAGUUAAUGAAGCCAACGUACCAUCUUCAGUACAGUUGAGAAGAUCGCUGGUCAAACCAUUGAUUGUAAAGGCAUAAGAUGUGUUUGGGUCACCACCAGUAGCCAGUGCUUUGGCUGGAAUAUCCUCAACAUUAGAAUUAUACAAAUCUCCUGCAUUUAAAUUAAAAAAUAAUAAUUAUGAACAGAAUUACGAUAUUUGAUGUAUUGCAGAAUAUAAGAUGGUGUAUGAGCUAGAUUUCCAUGGUAGAUAAAGAAAAUGUGUUAUAUAUAAAGGUAAAAGAAAAUUUU